rnacentral:rRNA from 1 species
UACGUAGGAUGCAAGCGUUGUUCGGAAUUACUGGGCGUAAAGAGUACGUAGGCGGUAUGGUAAGUCUGAUAUUAAAGACCGGAGCUUAACUUCGGGACUGUAUCGGAAACUGCCAGACUAGAGGACAAUAGAGGAAGUCGGAAUUCUCAGUGUAGCGGUGAAAUGCGUAGAUAUUGGGAAGAACACCAGUGGCGAAAGCGGACUUCUGGGUUGUUACUGACGCUGAGGUACGAAAGCGUGGGGAGCAAACGGG